rnacentral:rRNA from 1 species
CUACGGGGUGCUGCAGUGGGGAAUAUUGCACAAUGGGCGCAAGCCUGAUGCAGCCAUGCCGCGUGUAUGAAGAAGGCCUUCGGGUUGUAAAGUACUUUCAGCGGGGAGGAAGGGAGUAAAGUUAAUACCUUUGCUCAUUGACGUUACCCGCAGAAGAAGCACCGGCUAACUCCGUGCCAGCAGCCGCGGUAAUACGGAGGGUGCAAUCGUUAAUCGGAAUUACUGGGCGUAAAGCGCACGCAGGCGGUUUGUUAAGUCAGAUGUGAAAUCCCCGGGCUCAACCUGGGAACUGCAUCUGAUACUGGCAAGCUUGAGUCUCGUAGAGGGGGGUAGAAUUCUAGGUGUAGCGGUGAAAUGCGUAGAGAUCUGGAGGAAUACCGGUGGCGAAGGCGGCCCCCUGGACGAAGACUGACGCUCAGGUGCGAAAGCGUGGGGAGCAAACAGGAUUAGAUACCCGGGUAGUC